rnacentral:rRNA from 1 species
GACGAACGCUGGCGGCGUGCUUAACACAUGCAAGUCGAACGGAAAGGCCCUGCUUUUGUGGGGUGCUCGAGUGGCGAACGGGUGAGUAACACGUGAGUAACCUGCCCUUGACUUUGGGAUAACUUCAGGAAACUGGGGCUAAUACCGGAUAGGAGCUCCUGCUGCAUGGUGGGGGUUGGAAAGUUUCGGCGGUUGGGGAUGGACUCGCGGCUUAUCAGCUUGUUGGUGGGGUAGUGGCUUACCAAGGCUUUGACGGGUAGCCGGCCUGAGAGGGUGACCGGCCACAUUGGGACUGAGAUACGGCCCAGACUCCUACGGGAGGCAGCAGUGGGGAAUAUUGCACAAUGGGCGGAAGCCUGAUGCAGCAACGCCGCGUGCGGGAUGACGGCCUUCGGGUUGUAAACCGCUUUCGCCUGUGACGAAGCGUGAGUGACGGUAAUGGGUAAAGAAGCACGGCUAACUACGUG